UAUACAUACAAUAUAUACAUAUAUACAAACAUUUUAAAACGUUUAUAGAAUUAUUUCUGUUAGAAUUUGAUACAUUUGAUGAAUCUUGAAUAUAAUAAUAAGACAAUUGGUCUGAAAAACAAAGCAAGAAAAUAAUUAUCAAAAUAUAUAUGUAAACAUCUCUGUAUGCAGAUGCAAAAAUAUUCCAUAGUUGAAUUUAAUGAUGAAAAUACCGUUGAAAUUAUUCCUUCUUCUUGGAUAUCAUUUGAUAAAGAAACUACAUUAUGGCCCAAUACUAUAUCUCCUGCCAUUCUAAAGAAAUAUUUGAAAAAUAAUACUCAGCCCAAUGAUGAUUGGACUUCUGUACAUAUAAGAGUUUUAGGACAUGCAGAUAAUUUAACUGAAGCCAU